ensembl:lncRNA
CAUAGGUAAUGCUUGGUCUGAUGGAAGAUCUUUUAUUCUGUAUUUUGACCCCCUUAUUGAGGGGCAGAUUUGAGACAGGAGUGGUGAGAGGCUAUGGCAGCCCCUGCUUGUUGACUCUGGACUACUUCCUCUUUUGGAGGCUGUGGCUUUCUCAGAGGUGGUGAGGGAGGAAACCCACUGAAGAGGAGGCAUGGAAAGUAGUUGAGUCCUGCAAACAUGGGGAGCCUCAGAUGUGGUGCCGGCAGGCCACGGUUUGUGGGCCCGGGGGUCAGCAUGUUGGAGUGACAGUCUCUGUCGAGGAGGGAGCUCAGAAACUGCUUCUGCUGAAGGCUGUAACAGGACGUCAGUGCAAUUCAAAUGGCAAUGUUCUGAGGUUUCACCGUUGCAGAACUUUUCAAAGAACACUGUUUGGAAAAAAGAUAAUUUCAAAUCAUGUUGCCAAGAAAGGAUUGGCUACAUUGGGAUUCCUCUUCACUAUUUCAAUGUUUCCACCACUACUAACCUAAAGAAAAUUUUUGUCUCAUGAAGCUUUGAACAUACAACAUCCCUUAUGGCCCUACAUCUGGAUAUCCACAGCUCAAAGCCAACUGGGAAGCUGUGAAUGAAUAAAUGAGUGAAGAAGCACACAGAGAAGAGACUGAGGGAGAGACAAUGAGAAGUCUGUGAGAACUCUCCAUAAACUAAUGUAAUCAGUGAGGCUUGCACCAUUGUGUCUGA